rnacentral:rRNA from 1 species
AUUGAACGCUGGCGGCAGGCCUAACACAUGCAAGUCGAGCGGCAGCGGAAGGAAGCUUGCUUCCUUGCCGGCGAGCGGCGGACGGGUGAGUAAGGUAUGGGGAUCUGGCCGAAGGCGGGGGAUAACCACUGGAAACGGUGGCUAAUACCGCAUAAUCUCUAAGGAGCAAAGUGGGGGACCGUUCAGGCCUCACACCUUCGGAUGAACCCAUAUGAGAUUAGCUAGUAGGUGGGGUAAUGGCUCACCUAGGCGACGAUCUCUAGCUGGUCUGAAAGGAUGAUCAGCCACACUGGGACUGAGACACGGCCCAGACUCCUACGGGAGGCAGCAGUGGGGAAUAUUGCACAAUGGGCGCAAGCCUGAUGCAGCCAUGCCGCGUGUAUGAAGAAGGCCUUCGGGUUGUAAAGUACUUUCAGUCGUGAGGAAGGUGUUAAGGUUAAUAACCCUAGCAAUUGACGUUAGCGACAGAAGAAGCACCAGCUAACUCCGUGCCAGCAGCCGCCGUAA